UACGUAGGUGGCAAGCGUUGUCCGGAUUUACUGGGCGUAAAGGGAGCGUAGGCGGAUGUUUAAGUGGGAUGUGAAAUACUCGGGCUCAGCUUGAGUGCUGCAUUCCAAACUGGAUAUCUAGAGUGCAGGAGAGGAAAGGAGAAUUCCUAGUGUAGCGGUGAAAUGCGUAGAGAUUAGGAAGAAUACCAGUGGCGAAGGCGCCUUGCUGGACGGCAACUGACGUUGAGGCUCGAAAGCGUGGGGAGCAAACAGGAUUAGA
rnacentral:rRNA from 1 species